UACAGAGGGGGCAAGCGUUGUUCGGAAUUACUGGGCGUAAAGGGCGCGUAGGCGGCCUUCUAAGUCAUGCGUGAAAUCCCCGGGCUCAACCCGGGAACUGCGUCUGAUACUGGAAGGCUUGAAUCCGGGAGAGGGAUGUGGAAUUCCAGGUGUAGCGGUGAAAUGCGUAGAUAUCAGGAAGAACACCCGUGGCUAAGGCGGCUCUCUAGUACGGUACUGACGCUGAGACGCGAAAGCGUGGGGAGCGAACAGG
rnacentral:rRNA from 1 species